rnacentral:rRNA from 1 species
GGAGCCGUAGCGAAAGCGAGUCUGAAUAGGGCGUUUAGUAUUUGGUCGUAGACCCGAAACCAGGUGAUCUACCCUUGGUCAGGUUGAAGUUCAGGUAACACUGAAUGGAGGACCGAACCGACUUACGUUGAAAAGUGAGCGGAUGAACUGAGGGUAGCGGAGAAAUUCCAAUCGAACCUGGAGAUAGCUGGUUCUCUCCGAAAUAGCUUUAGGGCUAGCCUCAAGUGAUGAUUAUUGGAGGUAGAGCACUGUUUGGACGAGGGGCCCCUCUCGGGUUACCGAAUUCAGACAAACUCCGAAUGCCAAUUAAUUUAACUUGGGAGUCAGAACAUGGGUGAUAAGGUCCGUGUUCGAAAGGGAAACAGCCCAGACCACCAGCUAAGGUCCCAAAAUAUAUGUUAAGUGGAAAAGGAUGUGGCGUUGCCCAGACAACUAGGAUGUUGGCUUAGAAGCAGCCAUCAUUUAAAGAGUGCGUAAUAGCUCACUAGUCGAGUGACACUGCGCCGAAAAUGUACCGGGGCUAAACAUAUUACCGAAGCUGUGGAUUGUCCUUUGGACAAUGGUAGGAGAGCGUUCUAAGGGCGUUGAAGCAUGAUCGUAAGGACAUGUGGAGCGCUUAGAAGUGAGAAUGCCGGUGUGAGUAGCGAAAGACGGGUGAGAAUCCCGUCCACCGAUUGACUAAGGUUUCCAGAGGAAGGCUCGUCCGCUCUGGGUUAGUCGGGUCCUAAGCUGAGGCCGACAGGCGUAGGCGAUGGAUAACAGGUUGAUAUUCCUGUACCACCUAUAAUCGUUUUAAUCGAUGGGGGGACGCAGUAGGAUAGGCGAAGCGUGCGAUUGGAUUGCACGUCUAAGCAGUAAGGCUGAGUAUUAGG